rnacentral:snoRNA from 1 species
UUUAAGGAUGAUACCUAAGACGCAACGGGCGGACUAAAUGGGUUACUACAAUGCUUCAACUGUACAAUGAAGUUGUAACUCACAUGUUGUUAUCGUGUCUUACUGAAA